rnacentral:rRNA from 1 species
UUAAGCGACUAAGCGUACACGGUGGAUGCCCUGGCAGUCAGAGGCGAUGAAGGACGUGCUAAUCUGCGAAAAGCGUCGGUAAGGUGAUAUGAACCGUUAUAACCGGCGAUGUCCGAAUGGGGAAACCCAGUGUGAUUCGUCACACUAUCGUUAACUGAAUACAUAGGUUAACGAGGCGAACCGGGGGAACUGAAACAUCUAAGUACCCCGAGGAAAAGAAAUCAACCGAGAUUCCCCAGUAGCGGCGAGCGAACGGGGAGCAGCCCAGAGUCUGAAUCAGCUUGUGUGUUAGUGGAACGGUCUGGAAAGUCCGACGGUACAGGGUGAUAGUCCCGUACACCAAAAUGCACAGGCUGUGAACUCGAAGAGUAGGGCGGGACACGUGGUAUCCUGUCUGAAUAUGGGGGGGACCAUCCUCCAAGGCUAAAUACUCCUGACUGACCGAUAGUGAACCCAGUACCGUGAGGGAAAGGCGAAAAGAACCCCGGCGAGGGGAGUGAAAAAGAACCUGAAACCGUGUACGUACAAGCAGUGGGAGCACCUUCGGGUGUGACUGGCGUACCUUUUGUAUAAUGGGUCAGCGACUUAUAUUCUGUAGCAAGGUUAACCGUAUAGGGGAGCCGCAGGGAAACGAGUCUUAACUGGCGUUAAGUUGCAGGUAUAGACCCGAAACCCGGGUGAUCUAGCCAUGGGCAGGUUGAAGGUUGGGGUAACACUAAACUGGAGGACCGAACCGAACUCAAUGUUGAAAAAAAUUAGCGGAUGACUUGUGGCUGGGGGGUGAAAGGCCAAUCAAACCGGGAGAUAGCUGGUUCUCCCGAAAUGCAAGUAUUUAGGUAGCGCCUCGUGAAUUCAUCUUCCGGGGGUAGAGCACUGUUUCGGCUAGGGGUGUCAUCCCGACUUACCAACCCGAUGCAAACUACGAAUACCAAAGAAUGUUAUUCACGGGAGACACACGGCGGGUGCUAACGUCCGUCGUGAAGAGGGAAACAACCCAGACCGCCAGCUAAGGUCCCAAAGUCAUGGUUAAGUGGGAAACGAUGUGGGAAGGCACAGACAGCCAGGAUGUUGGCUUAGAAGCAGCCAUCAUUUAAAGAAAGCGUAAUAGCUCACUGGUCGAGUCGGCCUGCGCGGAAGAUGUAACGGGGCUAAACCAUGCACCGAAGCUGCGGCAGCGACACUAUGUGUUGUUGGGUAGGGGAGCGUUCUGUAAGCCUGCGAAGGUGUGCUGUGAGGCAUGCUGGAGGUAUCAGAAGUGCGAAUGCUGACAUAAGUAACGAUAAAGCGGGUGAAAAGCCCGCUCGCCGGAAGACCAAGGGUUCCUGUCCAACGUUAAUCGGGGCAGGGUGAGUCGACCCCUAAGGCGAGGCCGAAAGGCGUAGUCGAUGGGAAAACAGGUUAAUAUUCCUGUACUUGGUGUUACUGCGAAGGGGGGACGGAGAAGGCUAUGUUAGCCGGGCGACGGUUGUCCCGGUUUAAGCAUGUAGGCUGGUUGUCCAGGCAAAUCCGGAUAAUCAAGGCUGAGGUGUGAUGACGAGGCACUACGGUGCUGAAGUAACAAAUGCCCUGCUUCCAGGAAAAGCCUCUAAGCAUCAGGUAACAUUAAAUCGUACCCCAAACCGACACAGGUGGUCAGGUAGAGAAUACCAAGGCGCUUGAGAGAACUCGGGUGAAGGAACUAGGCAAAAUGGUGCCGUAACUUCGGGAGAAGGCACGCUGGUGUGUAGGUGAAGCCCCUGCGGGUGGAGCUGAGACCAGUCGAAGAUACCAGCUGGCUGCAACUGUUUAUUAAAAACACAGCACUGUGCAAAACACGAAAGUGGACGUAUACGGUGUGACGCCUGCCCGGUGCCGGAAGGUUAAUUGAUGGGGUUAUCCGUAAGGAGAAGCUCUUGAUCGAAGCCCCGGUAAACGGCGGCCGUAAACCUAUAACGGUCCUAAGGUAGCGAAAUUCCUUGUCGGGUAAGUUCCGACCUGCACGAAUGGCGUAAUGAUGGCCAGGCUGUC